GCGUCGAUAGCUUUCCUGAGUGGCAGAGCAGUGAGACGGUAGCCCACCGGCCCCGGUUCGAUUCCCGGUCGACGCU